AUUGAACGCUGGCGGCAGGCCUAACACAUGCAAGUCGAGCGGAUGAAGGGAGCUUGCUCCUGGAUUCAGCGGCGGACGGGUGAGUAAUGCCUAGGAGUCUGCCUGGCAUUGGGGGAUAACGUCCUGAAACGGGCGCUAAUACCGCAUACGUCCUGAGGGAGAAAGUGGGGGAUCUUCGGACAUCUCGCUAUCUGAUGAGCCUAGGUGGGAUUAGCUAGUUGGUUGGGUAAAGGCCUACCAAGGCGACGAUCCGUAACUGGUCUGAGAGGAUGAUCAGUCACACUGGAACUGAGACACGGUCCAGACUCCUACGGGAGGCAGCAGUGGGGAAUAUUGGGCAAUGGGCGAAAGCCUGAUCCAGCCAUGCCGCGUGUGUGAAGAAGGUCUUCGGAUUGUAAAGCACUUUAAGUUGGGAGGAAGGGCAGUAAGUUAAUACGUUGCUGUUUUGACGGUACCAACAGAAUAAGCACCGGCUAACUUCGUG
rnacentral:rRNA from 1 species